GAUGAACGCUGGCGGCGUGCCUAAUACAUGCAAGUCGAACGAACAGAUAAGGAGCUUUCCUCCUUUACUUUAGCGGGGGGCGGGUGUGUAAAAUGUGGGUAACCCUCCUUUAAGGCGGGGAUAAACUCGUGAAACCGGUGGUAAAUCCCGCUUAACUUCGGAACCGCAUGGUGGGAUAGUGAAAGACGGCUUUGCUACCGAUUUUAGAUGGACCCGCACCGUAUUAGCUAGUUGGUAAGGUAACGGCUUACCAAGGCGACGAUACGUAGGCGACCUGAGAGGGUGAUCGGCCACACUGGAACUGAGACACGGUCCAGACUCCUACGGGAGGCAGCAGUAGGGAAUCUUGCACAAUGGGCGCAAGCCUGACGGAGCAACGCCGCGUGAAUGAAGAAGGUCUUCGGAUCGUAAAGCACUGUUAUUGGGGAAGAACGUACGUGUAAGAAACUGUGCACUUAUUGACGGUACCUGAUCAGGAAGCCACGGCUAACUCCGUG
rnacentral:rRNA from 1 species